CAAUAGCGUAUAUUUAAGUUGCUGCAGUUAAAAAGCUCGUAGUUGGAUUUCGGGUGGGAAUGGCCGGUCCGCCGUUUCGGUGUGCACUUGCUACGCCCACCUUGCUGCCGGGGACGUGCUCUUGAGUUCACGCUCGGGACACGAAGUCGGCGAGGUUACUUUGAGUAAAUUAGAGUGUUCAAAGCAGGCCUACGCUCUGAAUACAUUAGCAUGGAAUAACACGAUAGGACUCUGGCCUAUCUUGUUGGUCUGUAGGACCGGAGUAAUGAUUAAGAGGGACAGUCGGGGGCAUUCGUAUUUCAUUGUCAGAGGUGAAAUUCUUGGAUUUAUGAAAGACGAACUACUGCGAAAGCAUUUGCCAAGGAUGUUUUCAUUAA
rnacentral:rRNA from 1 species